rnacentral:rRNA from 1 species
UACGGGGGGGGUAAGCGUUGUUCGGAAUUACUGGGCGUAAAGGGCUCGUAGGCGGCCAACUAAGUCGGACGUGAAAUCCCUCAGCUUAACCGGGGAACUGCGUCUGAUACUGGAUGGCUUGAGUUUGGGAGAGGGAUGCGGAAUUCCAGGUGUAGCGGUGAAAUGCGUAGAUAUCUGGAGGAACACCGGUGGCGAAGGCGGCAUCCUGGACCAACACUGACGCUGAGUGAGCGAAAGCCAGGGGAGCAAACAGG